GAUUAAGCCAUGCAUGUGUAAGUAUAAAUAUUAAACUUUGAAACUGCGAAUGGCUCAUUAUAUCAGUUAUAGUUUAUUUGAUGAAGAAUACUAAUUGGAUAACCGUAGUAAUUCUAGAGCUAAUACAUGUAUAAAGUCUUGUAGACUGCAUUUAUUAGAAUGAAAACCAUAGGUUUCGGCCUAUUCGUGAGUAAUAAUAACUAAUCAUAUCGUAUGCUUAUGUAACGAUGUGUCUUUCAAGUUUCUGCCCUAUCAGCUUUCGAUGGUAGUGUAUUGGACUACCAUG
rnacentral:rRNA from 1 species